UACGUAGGGUGCAAGCGUUAAUCGGAAUUACUGGGCGUAAAGCGUGCGCAGGCGGUUUUGUAAGUUUGUCGUGAAAGCCCCGGGCUCAACCUGGGAAUUGCGAUGAAGACUGCAAGGCUUGAAUCUGGCAGAGGGGGGUAGAAGUUCCACGUGUAGCAGUGAAAUGCGUAGAGAUGUGGAGGAACACCGAUGGCGAAGGCAGCCCCCUGGGUCAAGACUGACGCUCAUGCACGAAAGCGUGGGGGGGCAAACAGG
rnacentral:rRNA from 1 species